AACCACUUCGGUGGUCAUCCGUAAAAAUUGGAACGAUACAGAGAAGAUUAGCAUGGCCCCUGCGCAAGGAUGACACGCAUAAAUCGAGAAGUAUCCCACUUUGUG
rnacentral:snRNA from 1 species